rnacentral:rRNA from 1 species
AACGCGAAGAACCUUACCAGCCCUUGACAUCCCGGUCGCGGACUCCAGAGACGGAGUUCUUCAGUUCGGCUGGACCGGAGACAGGUGCUGCAUGGCUGUCGUCAGCUCGUGUCGUGAGAUGUUGGGUUAAGUCCCGCAACGAGCGCAACCCCCGUCCUUAGUUGCUACCAUUUAGUUGAGCACUCUAAGGAGACUGCCGGUGAUAAGCCGCGAGGAAGGUGGGGAUGACGUCAAGUCCUCAUGGCCCUUACGGGCUGGGCUACACACGUGCUACAAUGGCGGUGACAAUGGGACGCGAAGGGGCAACCCCUAGCAAAUCUCAAAAAGCCGUCUCAGUUCGGAUUGGGCUCUGCAACUCGAGCCCAUGAAGUUGGAAUCGCUAGUAAUCGUGGAUCAGCACGCCACGGUGAAUACGUUCCCGGGCCUUGUA